ACUAACAUGUCGAUGCAGCUAUAGGGGGUGUCAAUCCAGUCCACUGUUAUUGCUAGCAAUCAAGACGUGUACAGAAGCAACUAAGUCAAGCCAGAUUAUAAUGAUAGUGGGUUUCUAGUAACAAUCCUAGGUCAGGAUUCAAACAAGUAAAAAUGAGAACUUAAGAGCCCUACUCGAUCAUUGGGUUGAGUAGAACCAACAGGCAGAACUAAAAUGCAAUCAACACGGGAUACAAAUAACAGGUAGAUAAAAGUGCAAUCAACAGGGGAUACAAAUAAAUCUAAUAGAAGUCCUAAGGAUGGAUUCAUUGAUAAGGGCAACUCUAGGAUUCAUCAGAUGGCUAAUAGGCGAAAGGUAGAUACCAUUGACGAUAGAUUCAAAAACCGGGUCAAUCCACUAUCGUGACAGAGACCCCCAUAACUCUACCACUUCCUAAUCUCAACUGUCGUUGAUGAAACAUAGCAGAGUAGAGUUUAAGAAACAAUCUACCAAAGCCAAUAAGCAGACAAGCCAAUGUCUUGGUCGAGUAUACAUAUCUUUGGAAUUCGUAGAUCAGACAUCCAUUUGAAUGUCUUUUGGACGUUGGACGUCUAUGAUCGAAUCUCCACAUUAGCCAGCGAAAACUGCAUAGGGGCCAAGCGAAUCCAGAAGGGUUCUAACCUAAUCUCUAACCACCUAACUAACCUAGAGAUUACCCUAAUCUAAUCCAUCCUCAAGAACCCUAAUCACUACUCAAGCAACAUUCUCAAGAACACAAACCCAGAAAUUACUAAAAUCAUACCAAAAUGUAGAUCUAAACAAGCUAAACAACUCUACUCAAAGAAAUAAAUGCAGAAACGAAAUAAAUUAAGAGUAAUUAAGGUUUUAAGAUUCAUAAACACAAAGAAAAACUAAAGGAUAAAAGAUGGAUCCUUUGGACAAACCCCU
rnacentral:sRNA from 1 species